UUGUUGGGGCCGGGACUGCUGCCGAAGGCUGCAUUCUGUUUGUCUAGCGUUAAUGAGAAUAUUAUCUCCAAGAAGAGACACUCUCCUUGGUGGCACAGUGUGAUCAUGGAAGACGUUUAUCUUGACAGUUCUUCACUUUCUUUGUCCCAAAAGAUUCACUCUUGAUUGAAAGCACAAGUUCCCUGUCUUUGGGCUUCCUGGGCAUCAUCAUUUGUGGAAACGUCCAUUUUGUGUGCCAUAGGAGGGAGAGCGUUGAAGAGAGGAGAGUGAUGAUGAUGAUGAGAAGAGAUGACUGCUGCAUUCCCCAACAGUCCUUACGCCAGGCUGGGCUGAGGGCCUGCAUUCAGCACAUUGUUUUGGUGAAUUCUUCCAACAAUUCAUG
rnacentral:lncRNA from 1 species